rnacentral:pre_miRNA from 1 species
AUGUAGUGUAGCAUGUCCGUUUGUGGAAUUACUCUGAUGUGGAAUUUAAUCGUUAUUUAAAUGAUUUUGGGUACGAGGUGUUACAAUUGG